rnacentral:pre_miRNA from 1 species
AAUGUAUGACGUCGUUGACUUUUCGUCCAACGUUUGACUAUUCGUCUUAUUUAAAAUAUUUAUGAAAUUAUUAUUUAUUUUAUUGUGACCUGAUUCAUCAUCAAAUAUUCUUUAAGAAUGACAUAAAUAAUUUCAUAUUUCUAUAAAAUUUUUGAAUAAAACGGAUGGUCAUACGUUGAUGAAAAAGUCAACGGCGUCAUAUAUU